rnacentral:rRNA from 1 species
AUUGAACGCUGGCGGCAUGCCUUACACAUGCAAGUCGAACGGAAACGGGCCUUCGGGUGCCGACGAGUGGCGAACGGGUGAGUAAUACAUCGGAACGUGCCCGAUCCUGGGGGAUAACGAGGCGAAAGCUUUGCUAAUACCGCAUACGAUCUACGGAUGAGAGCAGGGGACCGCAAGGCCUAGCGCGGACGGAGCGGCCGAUGGCAGAUUAGGUAGUUGGUGGGAUAAAAGCUUACCAAGCCGACGAUCUGUAGCUGGUCUGAGAGGAUGAUCAGCCACACUGGGACUGAGACACGGCCCAGACUCCUACGGGAGGCAGCAGUGGGGAAUUUUGGACAAUGGGCGCAAGCCUGAUCCAGCCAUGCCGCGUGCAGGAUGAAGGCCUUCGGGUUGUAAACUGCUUUUGUACGGAACGAAAAGCUUUCUUUUAAUACAGGAGGGUCAUGACGGUACCGGAAGAAUAAGCACCGGCUAACUACGUG